AUGGCAGGGAAUAACGACAUGGAGCUAGAUGAAGAGAUGACUGAUCGACACGAAGACGAUGGCGCCGGACAUGGCGGCGGGAAAGAGUCCGGAAAUGACGGCGGCGGAGAAGAUUCCGGACACGGCGAAGAAGAGUCCGAACAUGGCGGAGAAGAGGCGGCGGUCACGCAGCAGUCUUCGACGCUACUAAGUGCAGUCGUGCAGGACGCUCAUGUUCGAGACCUCCUUCGCAAGAGUACGACUAGCGAGAGAGCUGCUUCUAGAGAGGAGGCCAAGCUGGCACAACUUGAAGUAGACUCAAGGACUUCAUUGUAUGAUGGUUGCGAUCCUGAGGUGACCCGCUUGAGUUUCACGCUCGAACUUCUAAAGACGAAGGCCAAAAACAAAUGGACAGACCAAAGCCUAGAUGAGGAUUUGAAGUAUCUACAUACUAAAGUUCUUCCCGCGGGGAACCUGUGUCCUACUAGUGUUGAGGAGGCAAAGAAAAUCGUUUCCCUUUUGAUUUGCCGCACAUUAGGUACCACGCAUGCAUCAACGAUUGCAUCAUUU
rnacentral:rRNA from 1 species